rnacentral:misc_RNA from 1 species
CCGAGUGAGGGCCCUCUGGGUCCAACCUCCCACCCGUGUUUAUCGUACCUUGUUGCUUCGGCGGGCCCGCCGCUAGGCCGCCGGGGGGCACCCGCCCCCGGGCCCGCGCCCGCCGAAGACACCCCUGAACGCUGUCUGAAGAUUGCGGUCUGAGCACUUAGCUAAAUCAGUUA